GACAGAGGUGCCAAGCGUUUAGGCGGAAUCACUGGGCUUAAAGCGUGUGUAGGUGGAAGCGUAAGUACCUUGUGAAAUCCCACGGCUCAACCGUGGAACUGCUUGGUAUACUGCGUUUCUUGAGCCAACUAGGGGCUAUCGGAACAAGUGGUGGAGCGGUGAAAUGCGUAGAUAUCACUUGGAACGCCAAUGGUGAAAACAGAUAGCUGGGGUUGUGCUGACACUGAGACACGAAAGCCAGGGGAGCAAACGGG
rnacentral:rRNA from 1 species